GCAGUCGUGGCCGAGGGGUUAAGGCGAUGGACUAGAAAUCCAUUGGGUGUCACCGCACAGGUUCGAAUCCUGUCGACUGCG
rnacentral:tRNA from 1 species